UACGUAGGGUGCGAGCGUUACUCGGAAUUACUGGGCGUAAAGUGUGCGCAGGUGGCCGCGCAAGUCGAGUGUGAAAUCCCCGAGCUUAACUUGGGAAUUGCGCUCGAAACUACGUGGCUCGAGUGUGACAGAGGAAGGUGGAAUUCCACGUGUAGCGGUGAAAUGCGUAGAGAUGUGGAGGAACACCGAUGGCGAAGGCAGCCUUCUGGGCCAACACUGACGCUCAUGCACGAAAGCGUGGGGAGCAAACAGG
rnacentral:rRNA from 1 species